AGUGAAAAUGUGGAAAGUAUCAUAGUUUACAAAUAAAAGAUUUUUAGUCAUAUAACUGCUUAAAUCCAGCUUGCUCCAAAACAAAUUAAAAAUGUACGAAUGCUGCAAUGAUUGAUAGGCUAAC